rnacentral:pre_miRNA from 1 species
GAUUUCAAUUGAAAAAGUCAUCAACAAUAAAGUUGUAUAACUCAUCAGUAUCUAUAACUUUUAUUUUGGUCAUUUCUUCAUUCGACAAAGUGAUAGUAACAAUGUUCACAAAAUUUACAUAUCUCUAUUAUAGGUUAUAAAACCAUAUAAGAGAUAUGUACAUUUUGUGAACAAUGCUACAAAUUGCUUUGUCGGAUGAAGAAAUGACCCAAAUAAAAGUUAUGGAUCUUGAUGAGUUAUACAACUUUGAUGUUGAUGACUUUUUCAGUUGAAAUC